GGGCCCGCACAAGCGGUGGAGCAUGUGGUUUAAUUCGAUGCAACGCGAAGAACCUUACCAGGCCUUGACAUCCUCGGAACUUUCUAGAGAUAGAUUGGUGCCUUCGGGAACCGAGUGACAGGUGCUGCAUGGCUGUCGUCAGCUCGUGUCGUGAGAUGUUGGGUUAAGUCCCGUAACGAGCGCAACCCACAUCUUUAGUUGCCAGCAGUUCGGCUGGGCACUCUAGCGAGACUGCCGGUGAUAAGCCGGAGGAAGGCGGGGAUGACGUCAAGUCCUCAUGGCCCUUAUGGGCUGGGCUACACACGUGCUACAAUGGCAGUGACAGAGGGACGCUACCAGGUGACUGGAUGCAAA
rnacentral:rRNA from 1 species